rnacentral:rRNA from 1 species
AUUGAACGCUGGCGGCAGGCCUAACACAUGCAAGUCGAGCGGAUGAAGGGAGCUUGCUCCUGGAUUCAGCGGCGGGCGGGUGAGUAAUGCCUAGGAAUCUGCCUGGUAGUGGGGGAUAACGUCCGGAAACGGGCGCUAAUACCGCAUACGUCCUGAGGGAGAAAGUGGGGGAUCUUCGGACCUCACGCUAUCAGAUGAGCCUAGGUCGGAUUAGCUAGUUGGUGGGGUAAAGGCCUACCAAGGCGACGAUCCGUAACUGGUCUGAGAGGAUGAUCAGUCACACUGGAACUGAGACACGGUCCAGACUCCUACGGGAGGCAGCAGUGGGGAAUAUUGGACAAAGGGCGAAAGCCUGAUCCAGCCAUGCCGCGUGUGUGAAGAAGGUCUUCGGAUUGUAAAGCACUUUAAGUUGGGAGGAAGGGCAGUAAGUUAAUACCUUGCUGUUUUGACGGUACCAACAGAAUAAGCACCGGCUAACUUCGUG